rnacentral:tRNA from 1 species
GCCUUCGUGGUGUAGUGGCAAGCGCGCUCGACGCGUAAUCCAGAGGUCCGUGGUUCGAUUCCCGGUGGAGGGG